rnacentral:lncRNA from 1 species
UGUACAAGUCGUCGUCGCAGCGCGCCAUCGUGGCGCCGCGCGAGGCGGACGCGCCCGACCCGCUGCUCGAGACCACGUGCUGAGCGUCGUUACGAGUAUUACUAGUGCGAAUUUUUAUAUCCCUUUAGGUUUAAGGUUUCAAAAUUACGAUUGUACCAUAUUCGAUGGAUAUAGAGUGUUUCGGUAUGUAACGGUAUGAUAGUAGCAUGGUUUUUAUAUUGUAAUUAUCUUUAAAUGUGGGCGAUUGUGCGCAUAUACGAAGUGUUUUAUUUAACUGUAAUGAGAUGGCGAAAUGUCAAACGGGAGAAACUAAACGAACUCAAUCUAUAGUCGGAGAAUUAAUUCCAGUCAGUAAAAUGACAAUUGCACUUCUUAUUUUACUGACUGUAAUUAAUAAUCGUACUAUAACUAUAAUAUUGGUCUUAAAAUUUGUUAUUAUAAAAUCAAUCUUUGUGCAAAAAAUGUCAAUAGCAAGUAUCACCCUAUUUUAACGUACCUUUCUUAUAGGAAAAGGGAAUCAUCAAAAUUAAAUUCUAUUAUUAUGGAAAACUAGCAAUAGCAUUUGGACGAAUUCAUUAAUUGAUUAAUUUAUAAAUAAAAAACUAUAUUAUAUAUUGUUUUUACUGCAAAGUAGGCUUUUUCAUAAAUACUCGUGUAUCUCUUCUAGUUCGUGAUGACCGCAACUCUAGUUAAAUAAAACACAGUAUAUGAGUGUGCCGAAUGUGUAUCGACGGUUGCAUUUUAAUUGUUAUGAUGUAUAUGAUAAAUAUUUUGAUCAUAAUUUGUAGU